rnacentral:rRNA from 1 species
GACGAACGCUGGCGGCGUGCUUAACACAUGCAAGUCGUGCGGUAAUGCCCUUUCGGGGGUCCACGAGCGGCGUACGGGUGCGUAACACGUUAGCAACCUGCCCUUCCCUUUGGGUUAACUUCCGGAAACGGUGGCUACUACCGUAUAUGACUUCCUCACGCAUGUGGGGUGGUGGCAAGCCUUCGGGUGGUUGGGGGUGGGCUCGCGGCCUAUCAGCUUGUUGGUGGGGUGGUGGCCUACCAAGGCUUCGACGGGUAGCCGGCCUGGGAGGGUGACCGGCCACACUGGGACUGAGACACGGCGCAGACUCCUAAGGGAGGCAGCAGAGGGGAAGAUUGGACAAGGGGGGAAAGCCUGAUCCAGCAGCGGCGGGGGAGGGAGGAGGGCCGUCGGGUUGAAAACCUCUUUGGCCAGGGACGAAGAGGGAGUGAAGGUAGCAGGUAAAGAAGCACCGGCUAAAUACGUG